UACAGAGGGGGCAAGCGUUGUUCGGAAUUACUGGGCGUAAAGGGCGCGUAGGCGGCCUUCUAAGUCAGACGUGAAAUCCCCGGGCUCAACCCGGGAACUGCGUCUGAUACUGGAAGGCUUGAAUCCGGGAGAGGGAUGUGGAAUUCCAGGUGUAGCGGUGAAAUGCGUAGAUAUCAGGAGGAACACCGGUGGCGAAGGCGGGUCUCUGGGCCGAUACUGACGCUGAGGAGCGAAAGCGUGGGGAGCGAACAGG
rnacentral:rRNA from 1 species